GCAAACUUGGUCAUUUAGAGGAAGUAAAAGUCGUAACAAGGUUUCCGUAGGUGAACCUGCGGAAGGAUCAUUAAUGGAAAAUCUCUUUCCACUUAAUCCACACACACCGUGCACCCUCGUCGGGCCCGGUCACGGGCCCGUCUUUUUUUUUCUAUGCUCACGCAUGAAUUCAUAAAAGGUUACCUGGAAGUGAAAAUUUGAAUUGAAACAACUUUCAACAACGGAUCUCUUGGCUCUCGCAUCGAUGAAGAACGCAGC
rnacentral:misc_RNA from 1 species